CUUAACUACACACACAGACACACACACACACACACACACACACACACACACACACCUUGGAUGUUAGCUUUUAUUUAAGCUUUUAGCCAUUAAGCUCCUUAAAAAAAAAUCCCUUCAAAUCUCAUUACUGUAUUUUAGCUAGUACAAACUGCUGAUAUUUCAAAAAUAAUGCAAAUACCAAGCCAGAAAGGGCUUGAUUUAGGAACCAAACUUAGGCAGUCAUGAUGAAAAUAAGGACAGAACCUUAGUUUCCAAACUGCAGCACUGGGGGACAACCGUUGCUCUUUCAGUUUGGCCUGGUUAGCAAAAGAUGGCCUUGCUAUGUAAAUAAAUCCCCUAAGGUAGUCAAAAUCAAAAAAACUUUUUUUCCUUUUGCUGGCUUUUUCUUUUUUCUUUUUCAGCUGCGGGAAUUUAGCCAAUUCAGAGGUCUUGUUCUCCAUAAUUUGGAACUUUCCUUCGGAUUUGAUCAAGUUGGAUAGAGUUGGUCAAACCCAAUAGGAAAAAGAUGAAAACAACAAGAAACAGAAACAAACAAAACAACAAAAAAAAACAGACCCCACACCUCCAGACCCUGCUGAGGGAGGGCCACCCAUUUCUAGUCCCAGCUCCUCCUCUAACUGUCCGUGUGACCUUAAACAAGGCCUUGCCCCUCUCUGGCCUCAGUAUCCGCCUCUGAACAAUGGGGCUGGGCCUGCUGACCUUCUGAUUCUUUUCUGCUCUGUGAGUUUGUGAACUUGUGAUAGGGAGACAAGAGUCCUAGGAAAUGGAAGGAGAGCACGUUUCACUCUGUCCAGCAGAGGGCAGCAGCUACCCACAAAUCAACAGCUGGGCAAAGCCAGGGCUGUGCGGGAGCUAUGCACAAGUUCUGCCUCCUGAAGCCUUCAGUGGCAGCCUCUGAGCCAGAGGGUUCCAAGCAGAAGAGGUCCCGCCCCUGGAGAGGGACCUCAGAAAGGUCCUUCAAGCCCCCUCUCAGCUCUUACUAACGGCAUCCCAGAUGCCCUAUUCCUCUUCUGCAGAGAGAAGGUGGGUCAGCCACUAAAUGGUGCUUGGACCUUGCAGCUUGGUGGGAAUGAGGAAGCUUAUUCAAGCAAGGAAGACGAGACAGGCAAAAACCGACGCAUAAGCCAAAAGCCCCUCCAAAGCGAGGUGUCGUUCCAGGCUGACAAGUCUCCAGCAGGGUGGACUUCAGACUCCCUGUUAGGAACUGAAUUGUGUCCCCGAAAACGAGAAAGUCACCCCAGAGUAUGACCUAAUUCAGAAAAGGUCAUUGCAGAUGCAUUUAAUUAAGUGAAGAUGAGCUCGUGCUGGAGUAGGGUGGACUCUGAACCCAGUAGGACAAGCGUCCUUAUUAAAAAGAGGGAAAUCUGGACACACACAGAGCAGAGACCGCCCUGUGAAGAUGGAGGCAGAGAUCAGAGAGAUGCUGCCACAUGCCACAAAUGCCUGGGGCGCCCAGAAACUACACGGAGCCUCCCCCAGCGUCUUCAGCAGGAGCAUGGCUCGGCCAACACUUUGAUCUUGGCCUUCCAGCCUCCAGAACGUUUUCCUAAAAUUCCCUUUUCCACUGGUGUGUGGUGCAAGAUGAGGCACAUUUUCCAUGGAUGGUGAACAGAGGGAGGAGCCUUUUGAUCACAACCAGGUCACUCCACUUCUAAGCCACUGUGUCUCCAGCCCCACAAGACUAAGGGAGAGAGCGCAGAAUGGUGGAGAGUAAGCUGUGCUGGGACCGUUGUUUCCAUAACCUCGUUUUCUGUGUCCGGCUGACACACCUUCAAAGCGGCAUCAGGUCCUAAACUGUAGCUUGCAACGUGCCUGUUUCCAGAAACCAAGGUGAAAGUGCUUUUAGACAGUGUUCCCAUGCAAGGGUCCCUUCCCAAAUUUUCUCUGGAAAUGCAUGUUUCUCUGAACUCUGAGUCCCAAGAAAAAUCAUUUGAGACAUCAAGAAAAUGGGGGAAGUGCUAAAAUUGUGUGGGAAUUCAAGCUUAACAAUAAACAUCAAGACAUUUUUGGUAAAAAUGAAUCCACUGACAUCAGGGAGGAGCAAGAGAACAGCACGCUGACACUGGGUCAGAGGCUAAGACCAACAUUUCUGGGAACCACUCCUGGAAGGGCACAGAUGAGACGCUUUCAACCUCUCAUCAGCCAGCCUGGCCUGUAGCUGCUGCACGUUAUGAGUGUGUUCCUGGCAUGACUGCUUCUAACAGCAACCAUUUCAUUAAGUUUUUAAGUGCCUGGCAAUUGCUUGGUUAAGACCGGUGUCUGCUCCAUGGCAGCCUCUUCCUGUUUUUGCCCGAAUGAUGAAGGAGGAAGUUUACAUCUUGCUCCCUGGGGACAGGCAGAGACAGUGUGUGCACUUCCAUCCUACAAGGACCAGAUCUGAACAGUCUGGAGAGAAGAUCUGUGGCGGCAGCAGACAGAUCUCUGCUUCAGGGGCCAGGUGUCCAGGUGGAACACCACAGCGUGGCAGAGAGAACAGAGGCUUCUCUGCAUGCCUGCCAGGGAAUUGGCACCAUGUCAACAGAAAUCUUAGGUUACAGGAACAGGAACCAGCCCUGACUGAUGUGUGCAAGCUCGGAGCUUUCCUUUCUCCUUGCACUUCCCACAUGUUCCCCACAUAAGCAGCAACCACAGAGCCACCCCCUGCCACCCAACGACUCUCUCCUGAGCUAGAAACUUGUAAGACUCAGCUAGGAGUCUGAAUGGUUGGACAUCUAAAGCAAAGAAUAACCUAGUUUGUAACUUGGGAUCAAAGGAAGAACUGAAUAUCCACAUUCUGUGUAAAAGAGGCCACUUUGGAGAUUUCUAUGCCUCUCAGGGGCUCUACCUCAGAAUGGCUCAGCUGUAAUUAUUUUUGGAUUCCUAUACAAAUCCAACUUCCCUGGAAAGAGAAAGUCUCAUGUUUAUUAAUAAUAUGAGGAAAGAAUUAAAAUAUAUCAGCUGCUAUGGGCUACUGUCGUUUAUUUUGACUUUUCUUUUGUAGAAGAAAUGCUGAUGCAGUGUCAUUCUUGUGUCUGUCCUCCUUAGAGAAUGCCUGAACAGUUCCAUUGACUCAAAGUAAAGAUCAAAAGAACCAAAUGACAGUAAUAGCCAAGUGUAAUCAUCAGUAACCGUGUUUUCUAUCCACGGGUAAAAAACAAUCAUCCUCUUCAUUAUGGGUUUCAAUUUAAAAUGUAAUACAUUUUUAGAAAUGCCUAUUUCCUUUUAUAAUCUCUUUAUAUAAUCUAGGUUACUCUGGCUCUUAGGUCUUCAUUUAACUACUGAAAAGAUUUGAUCUCAAAUCAAUGACCUAACCACCCAUGACCACCUCCCACCUCCCUCCCCAUACACCCCCCAGCAUGAAUUCUGGUAACUCAGGUAAAAUGCUUUCUGGAAACCUGCCUCUAUUAGUCUGUUUUCAAGCUGCUAAUAAACACAUACCCAAAACUGGGUAAUUUAUAAAGGAAAGAGGUUUCCUUUAUAGUUCUACAUGGCUUGGGAGGCCUCAAAAUCAUGGUGGAAGGCGAAUGAGAAGCAAAGUCACAUCUUACAUGGCAGCAGGGAAAAGAGAGUUUGUGUAGGGGAACACCCCUUUAAAAAACCAUCAGAUCUUGUGACACUCAUUCACUAUCAAGAGAACAGCAUGGAAAGACCUGCCCCCAUGAUUCAAUUACCUCCCAUGACACAUGGGAAUUAUAGGAGCUACAAUUCACAAUGAGAUUUGGGUGGGGACACAGACAAACCAUGUCACUGCCUAAAACCAACUCAAUAGUCUAAGGAAUUUGACUGGGGAGAAUCUGGAGAGGAUUUAAUUAAUUUGGCAAAAGGAUUAGCAAUUGGAGCUAAGUGAGAAAAGAGAAUUCUUGGAGGAAAAAAAGAUGUUUAGUUACACUGAGAAAUUAAAACCUGAAGCAAUUGCCUUUGAGAUUUUUUUCAGGAAAUGAGUAUUGACGGCCUACUGUGUGUCAAAUUAUGUGUUUCACGUUAAAGACUCCAAAGUAGAUAAGACAUAGGCCCAGCCUUGGGGAGCUCAUUGAGCCACAGAGAAAGUUUGAAUGUUUCAGAGAAAUCAUCAAGAACAUGGGAUCAGCAAUCUAUUAUAUUUUAAUUGCCUCUUUUCAUGAUUAUAAAAGCAAUGCAUGCCUGCUGAAGAGAAUUUGGAAAAACAAAGAAGAAAUUAAAAAACAUCUCUGAUCCUGCCACCAGAAAUCACCACUGUUAGCAAUUGUGUCACUUCUGUAGGUCAAUAUGGUUAUCAUAAUAAGCUCUAGCAUUGAUUACAUGCAUCUCAUGUA